rnacentral:rRNA from 1 species
CGUAACACGUGAGCAACCUACCGAACUGUGGGGGAUAGCCGGCCUAACGGCCGAGUAAUACCGCAUACGCUUUCAGUGAGGCAUUUCACUGGAAGGAAACCUACGGGACAGAUCGAGGGGCUCGCGGCCUAUCAGCUAGUUGGCGAGGUAACGGCUCACCAAGGCAACGACGGGUAGCUGGUCUGAGAGGAUGGCCAGCCACAUUGGGACUGAGAUACGGCCCAG